rnacentral:rRNA from 1 species
UUUUAUUUUGAUAUUAUUUUUUAUUGUUGAAAAAAUUAAUAAUAAUUUAUUGUUAAUAAAAAUUAAAAUUUAUAAUAUUUUUAUUUUUAUUUUUUAGUUUUAAAUAAAAAAAAUAAAAUUUAUAUAUAUAAAAAUUUUGUUAUAAAUUAUAAUAGUUUAUUUAUUUGUUUUUUAUAAUAAAUAAUAGUAUUUUUUUUUAUUAUUUUAUAAAAAAAAAUAAUUUAAUUAUAAUUAUUAAAAGUAAUUUUGUUAUUUAGAAUAAUAUAUUAAUAUAAAUAACAAAAAUAUUAAAUAUUUUUUAAAUUUUUUGGGGAUUUAAGUUAUAAUUUUUUGUGUCUGCUCAGUGAAUUUAAAUAGCACUUUUAGCGUGAUG